rnacentral:rRNA from 2 species
UACGAAGGGGGCUAGCGUUGUUCGGAAUCACUGGGCGUAAAGCGCACGUAGGCGGAUCUUUAAGUCAGGGGUGAAAUCCCGAGGCUCAACCUCGGAACUGCCUUUGAUACUGGAGGUCUCGAGUCCGGGAGAGGUGAGUGGAACUGCGAGUGUAGAGGUGAAAUUCGUAGAUAUUCGCAAGAACACCAGUGGCGAAGGCGGCUCACUGGCCCGGUACUGACGCUGAGGUGCGAAAGCGUGGGGAGCAAACAGG